CCUACGGGGGGCUGUAGUGGGGAAUUUUGGACAAUGGGGGCAACCCUGAUCCAGCCAUGCCGCGUGAGUGAAGAAGGCCUUCGGGUUGUACAGCUCUUUCGGCCGGGAAGAAAUCGCUCAAGCUAAUACCUUGGGUGGAUGACGGUACCGGAAGAAGAAGCACCGGCUAACUACGUGCCAGCAGCCGCGGUAAUACGUACGGUGCGACUGGGAAUCGGAAUUACUGGGCCGGAAGCAUGCGCAGGCGGCGAAAUCCCCGGGCUUAACCUGGGAACUGCGUUUGUGACUGUGGUGCUCGAGUGCGGCAGAGGGGGGUGGAAUUCCACGUGUAGCAGUGAAAUGCGUAGAGAUGUGGAGGAACACCGAUGGCGAAGGCAGCCCCCUGGGUCGACACUGACGCUCAUGCACGAAAGCGUGGGGAGCAAACAGGAUUAGAUACCCGAGUAGUC
rnacentral:rRNA from 1 species